ACCUGAUAGCAGUUGAAAAGAUUGAACGGGGGCAAAGAUGAGCACCGAAUCCUUUUUUUUUUUAUUUUCUCAAAAUUGGAAGUUUUCAUAGUUGUAGGACAGUCGAUAUCCUUAGUUUCACUUUACGUCAGGAACUUUCCAACGAGUGUUUGGUGGUUAUUUUUUUUUAAACGUUCGUUAGGUAGUGCUGUAUUUAACGGUAUAGUAUAAAACUUGAAGUAUUACAGUGCCCUGCUAUUACCUCAGUUCUAGGAAAAUGAUAGAGGAUGGAGAAGAAGACAGGAUGAAGCACUGGGAAAAGGUUUGUUCUGCUUCAGAAACAAAAUUACUAAGCGCACAUCUUGGUGCUUAAUUUGUUUCAAGUCCAUUGCAGGUUGUAUAAAUAUUUUGGGUGCCUUCUUAAAUCCAGCAAAAUAGAGACUAUCUAGAAAGGUAUUUCCUUGUGUUAUAACUCGAAGUGUGGCUAGAGACAGGAUUUUACUACUGUAUUCUGCAGCUGUUGACCUAGAGAACGCAACAAAGGGACAUAACAGUUCACAGAUGGAACCAGCUUUACAGUUAUCAAAAAACUUGUGUAUCAAGAAAUUUUCCUAACAACUACAUAAAAAAUGAGGACCAGCUCAUUGGUUGACUAAGGAGUUACAGCUUGAAGAGAAUGGAAUGAAACCCAACCUGGUUAUGGUAGCAGUGAUGAAAAAGUGGGGCUUAGAUCUCCUGCAGCACCAAGUACAGGCGAUUGACAACUCCAGUUUCUGAAGGAGUCCAGAGUAACCAAAGCAAUCAGUGAGAAAAGUGAAGCAGGAGGCAUCAAACUACCCGACCUUAAAUUACACUACAGAGCUAUGGUAACAAUAACAGCAUGGUAUGGCACCAGAACAGACAUGAAGACCAACGGAACAGAAAUUCCAUAAAAUUAUAUGGAAAUAAACCCACAUAAAUAUAGCUAUCUCAUAAAUAUAGCUAUCUCCUACUAGACAAAGGAACCAUAAACAUACAUUGAAGAAAAGAUAGCCUCUUCAACAGAUGGUGCUGGGAAACCUGGAAAUCCAUAUGAAGUAGAAUGAAAUUUAACCCCUUUCACCCUGCACAAAACUCAAUUCAAAAUGCAUCAAGGACCUAGACAUUGGACCAGAGACCCUGCACAUACUAGAAGAAAAUGUAGGCCCGACACUCCAUCAUGUUCAUUGGGUUUUCUUUCAAGUUUUCUUUGUGUUGUAGGAUUUCUACAGCAGAAAGACAUUUUGUUUACUGCUCAGUAGUGAUUUGGAUUUUCCUAGAACACUUGCACCCCCCACCCCUGCUUUGGAUCAGUUGCCAUGAUUAUCCAUGCCUGGAUUAUCAGCCUAUCCGUGGUUGGAAUGAUAGGGCUGGACAUUGUGAUGAUGGUGAUUAAUGCCUGCCUCUCCCUGCAAAUGAAAUGGAGGAGGGCCAGCCUGAAGUCAAGGUUCCUGGGCAGGCAGAAAUGGCUCCUAUAUACUUAGUAGGAGCUCUAGAUUUUUGAGCAGAUGGAUCAGACAUGGAAAUAAACAUUUGAAAAAGACUGAGAUGGCCAUAGUAUGUUCAUAGAGUGAUCAUGUGAUUUAUCAUCUAAAUUGGGACACUUUUGAAAAGGAAGGAGGUGGUUAUUAAUCACUAAUGGAUGCAUAUUUCCCCUGGGAGAGCUCACCAUGUGGAAGAGAGAUUAUUUGUAAUUGUCGCACUAAUCUCUUUACUGACGUAAUAGAAGUCUAAUUGUAGUUAUGACUGCAAAACCAUGUAUAGUUUUACAAUCACCCUCAACCAAUUCCCAAGAGAAAAUAACUUCUUAGAACCAAGGCCAAGACUCACAAAAGGGUCAAGAUUCAUAAAAAAAUUAAAUCUCCAGUGGAAGGAACCAUCUGCUCCUUGAUAGUUGGUUCUCAGGAAAUAGCUUGGGGUGAUGAAUCACCAUUUCACCUGUGUGCUUUCAUAGUAGAGUGGUUAAUAGAAAGCCUCAAAGUUAUGAGCCUGACAUAAUUUAAAGUCUUUCCCAUUGUGACCUUAAGCAAGUUACUUAACCUCUCCAAACCUAUGUCUUUGCCUAUAAAAUGGAAAUUAUUAUACUUCACAGGAUCGUUCAGAAUCAAGGUAUAUUUAUAUAUAGUGUAUUUACAGUGCAUAGAUUUACUGUUUGUGUAGAGCUCUGACAGCUUAGCUGCUAUUACUAUCAAAGAGGGUAAUACAAGAGAAAAAAAGUAGUUUUUUUUAAAGUAGGUAGAAUCUCCUAGCAAGCAUUGUUUAUACUGCUUCUUCCUUAUUGAUUCACUAAUCUACUCUUUUGGUCAAAUUCCUUCCCUUAGGCCCAUUCUACUUCCAGGUUAGGGAGAAGUGGCUGAAUAUCUCCCAGGUGGUUCAAGAAUGUCUUUGACCUUGUCAGUUGUUACUAGAGACUUCCAAGCCUUUUCAGGAAGAAAAGUCUGGCCACAGGAAUCUAAUUUUUUUUAAGUGAAUAUUCACAUCAGUUUUAUUCCUAAUCUCUAAAAACUAGACAAGCCCAAAUGAAAUGUCCAUUGGUGAAUAGAUGAACAAAUUGCAGAAUGUCCGAACUACCGAAGCUCCUUCUCAAUAAGAAGGAAUGGGCUAUUGAUACACAAACAACCAUGGAAGAAGUGCAAAUGUUUAUACUAAUGAUAGAAGCUACAGGAUUUGAUCUCUUUCAUAGAAAAGCAAAACCAGAGGGGCAAACUGGAGAAGAGGAAGUGAUUAAGUACACAAGGCAUUUUUGUGGAGAAACAGUCAAUAUCUUUUUAAGAAUUAAAUAAUGCAUAGUGUACAUUUACAGAGUACACGAUAUACAUAUACAAUGUAUAAUGAUCAAAUCAAGGUAAUUGACAUUUCCAUCUCCUUAAAUGUUUGUCAUUUUUUUUUUCUGUUGGGAACUUUUGAGAUCCUUUCUUCUGGUACUUUAUAAAAUAUUGUUAUUAUAAAUUAUAGUAAUUCCACUGUGUUAUAGAAUACUCAAACUUAUUCUAUUUAAAUGUAUUUUGAUGCCUGUUGUCCAACCUUAUUCUACUGUCUUUUCCUCUAUCCUUCCUACCUCUAGUGACCAUGAGUCUACUUUCUAAUUUAAUAAAA